AAAGGGUAAAAAGUCAGGAGUUAUAUAAAAAAGCCAUCUCAAGCAACAGCCUCUCGCUGACUUGUCUCAGCUCAUAGGGCCUUCAGGAUCAUGGCCUAUAAAAUGCUUCAAGCAGCCCUGUGUUCAACAUUGCUUAUAGGAGCUUUGGGAGCACCAUUUUUAUUGGAGGACCCAGCAAACCAAUUCCUACGUCUCAAAAGACACAUAUAUUUGCAGGAUUACUGGGAUUCAGAUUACAGUCCGAAUACAUGGGGAAGCACACUGGCUAAUCAGGCUUAUGAAACAUGGACUGCUUUGAAAACAACAGCACAGUAUUACCUGAAUGUGAAUAAUUUGCCCCAUGACACAUCUACUGCCCAGUAAAUGUGCUUUGCUGGUAGCCAGGAUAGCAAAAGUAGUGGAAGCCAAAAGGGGCAAUGCCUCCAAACCACUAGAUUUGGAGACCUCAGGGCAAAUCCAUCCCAUCUACUAAAUUAUUUAUUAUGUCUGCCUCAUGAAGCUAUUGAAAGGAGUAAAUAUGAAAAUCCCUGUAGAGACCUAGAAUUAGAAGCUCUCAAUAAAUUGUUGCUUUUAAAAAUGAGAACUAAAAUAAAGACUGUAGUAAUAAAAUUUACCAAAUGGUAAAAGGAAAUAAAAAAACAAAACAGUAGUGUCAUUAAAAUUCCCUGUCUGAAAGGAAAACAAAACAAAACAAAAAAAACCGUUCAUAGCUCUUGCUUUCUAUUGCCUCUUCUUUGAGAGAAUUAGUUCACUUUUUGUUCAAGGAAGAAAAUGGGAUCUCUCAUAUGGAACUGGUCCUCUCCUCUUUUCUUCAAUACUUGUCACUUCCUAAAGUCAGUCUAUUCCAAGAUCAUACUUGUGAAUUUUUUUUCAUCAAAGCUGUACUGUUUUGGGCAAUAGAGAAUAAAAUCUUAGCUCAUACUAGGGAACAGAUGAUGACUCGGAACCCACUGGAAGCCACCCACCUGUAAGUCUUCCUGAGAAAUUUUGUCAAAAUUACGCAAGUUUUAUGUUCCAGCCCAUAAUAUAUUUUUUUGUUUUGAUAUGAAAUAAUAAUUUUUAAAAAUCUCAAAUCCAUUAUUACUCACUUUCCAUCCCCCUAAGCCCCAGCCCUAGUAACCACUAAUAAACUUUCUGUAGCUAUACAAAAAAAAGAAAUAA